ACAGCUCAAAUUUGAAAUCUGGCCCCCGGGUCCGAGUUGUAAUUUGCAGAGGAUGCUUUUGGUGAAGUGCUUUCCGAGUCCCUUGGAACAGGGCGCCAUAGAGGGUGAGAGCCCCGUCUGGUCAUGCACUGAGCCUCUGUAAAGCUCCUUCGACGAGUCGAGUAGUUUGGGAAUGCUGCUCUAAAUGGGAGGUGUAUGUCUUCUAAAGCUAAAUACCGGCCAGAGACCGAUA
rnacentral:rRNA from 1 species